UACGUAGGUGGCAAGCGUUGUCCGGAUUUAUUGGGCGUAAAGCGAGCGCAGGUGGUUUCUUAAGUCUGAUGUGAAAGCCACGGCUCAACCGUGGAAGGUCAUUGGAAACUGGGGAACUUGAAUGCAGAAGAGGAGACUGGAAUUCCUGGUGUAGCGGUGAAAUGCGCAGAUAUCAGGAGGAACACCGGUGGCGAAGGCGGGUCUCUGGGCAGUAACUGACGCUGAGGAGCGAAAGCAUGGGUAGCAAACAGGAUUAGAUA
rnacentral:rRNA from 1 species